NNNNNNNNNNNNNNNNNNNNNNNNNNNNNNNNNNNNNNNNNNNNNNNUGCCCCCCGCCCGGCGGGGCAGGAUGCGGCCGGGCGAGCGAGCGGGCGGCCGGGAAUUGUUCUGCCCGGCCUGGGGGGAAGCAGGAAACGGGGGGGCUGGGGAAGGGUUUCCGGGAGGGUGGGGGGCCGGGAAGGGGCCCCCCACGGGCGUGGGAACGGGGGACGCCCCGGACGGGCUUCCCAUGGCAGCUGGGAAGGGGGGAAGUGGGAGCUGGGGGCGCCCCGUGCUGCCCACGGCACGGGCACGGUCGGGGUGUCAGGGGCACGGGUGGGGUGCUGUGGGUAUGGCUGGGGUGUCACGGGCACGGGUGGGGUGUCAGGGGCACGGGUGGGGUGUCAGGGGCAUGGUCGGGGUGCUAUGGGUACGGUCGGGGUGUCACGGCUAUGGUCAGGGUGCUAUGGGUAUGGCUGGGGUGUCGUGGGUAUGGUCAGAGUGCCGCGGGCACAGCCCCAGAGCCAAGAGCAGGGUCAGGGUGCCACAGGCAAAACCGGGGUGCCAUGGGCACGGUUGGGGUGCCAAGGGCACGAUUAAGGUGCCACGGGCACCGCCGGGGUGUCACAGGCACGAUCGGGGUGCCGUGGUCAUGGUUGGGGUGUCACAGGCACAGUCAGGGUGCCACAGGCACAGCCCCAGGGCCAAGAGCAGGGUCAGGGUGCCAUGGGCAAAGCCAGGGUGCCAUGGGCAUGUUUGGGGUGUCACGGGCACAAUCGGGGUGCCAUGGGCACGGUCGGGGUGCCACGGGCACGGUUGGUGUGCAACAGGCACAGCCCAAGGGCCAAGAGCAGGGGCAGGGUGCCACGGGCACAACCAGGGUGCCACGGGCACGGUCGGGGUGUCACGGGCACAAUCGGGGUGCCGUGGGCACGGUCGGGGUGCCACGGGUAUGGUUGAGGUGCCAUGGGCACAGCCCCAGGGCCGAGAGCAGGGGCAGGGUGCCACGGGCACAACCGGGGUGCCACGGGCACGGUCGGGGUGUCACGGGCACAAUCGGGGUGCCGUGGGCACGGUCGGGGUGCCACGGGUAUGGUUGGGGUGCCGUGGGCACAGCCCCAGGGCCGAGAGCAGGGGCAGGGUGCCACGGGCACAACCGGGGUGCCACGGGCACGGUUGGGGUGCCAGGGACACGGUCGGGGUGCUCAGGGCAUGGCUGGGGUGCCGUGGGCAUGGUCGGGGUGCCAGGGACACCACGGGGGUGCCGCGGGCAUGGUCAGGGUGCCAGGGACACCACGGGGGUGCCGCGGGCGCUGUCGGGGUGCUGCGGUCCCGGUCCCCCCGUCCCCCCGCUGCAGGCGCAGGACACCCGCGGGGGGGGGGUCCC
rnacentral:lncRNA from 1 species